rnacentral:rRNA from 1 species
GUCUACAGCCAUACCACCCUGAACGCGUCCAAUCUCAUCUGAUCUCGGAAGCUAAGCAGGGUCGGGCCUGGGUAGUACUUGGAUGGGAGAACUACAAGGAGAAACAGACAAAUCCAGAAU